GGUUUCGUGGUGUAGUGGUUAUCACGUCUGCUUCACAUGCAGAAGGCCGCGAGUUCGAGCCUCGCCGAAACCU
rnacentral:tRNA from 1 species